AUUGAACGCUGGCGGCAGGCCUAACACAUGCAAGUCGAGCGGAUGAAGGGAGCUUGCUCCUGGAUUCAGCGGCGGACGGGUGAGUAAUGCCUAGGAAUCUGCCUGGUAGUGGGGGAUAACGUCCGGAAACGGGCGCUAAUACCGCAUACGUCCUGAGGGAGAAAGUGGGGGAUCUUCGGACCUCACGCUCUCAGAUGAGCCUAGGUCGGAUUAGCUAGUCGGUGGGGUAAAGGCCUACCAAGCCGACGAUCCGUAACUGGUCUGAGAGGAUGAUCAGUCACACUGGAACUGAGACACGGUCCAGACUCCUACGGGAGGCAGCAGUGGGGAAUAUUGGACAAUGGGCGAAAGCCUGAUCCAGCCAUGCCGCGUGUGUGAAGAAGGUCUUCGGAUUGUAAAGCACUUUAAGUUGGGAGGAAGGGCAGUAAGUUAAUACCUUGCUGUUUUGACGUUACCAACAGAAUAAGCACCGGCUAACUUCGUG
rnacentral:rRNA from 1 species